rnacentral:rRNA from 1 species
CCAAUAGCGUAUAUUAAAGUUGUUGCAGUUAAAAAGCUCGUAGUUGAAUUUCGGGGUUAGUAGGUUGGUCGUGCCACUGGUAUGUACUGGCUUUACUGAUUCCUCCUUCUUGAAGAACUGUAAUGUCAUUAAUUUGGUGUUGCAGGGAAACAGGACUGUUACUUUGAAAAAAUUAGAGUGUUUAAAGCAGGCUAACGCCUGAAUACAUUAGCAUGGAAUAAUGAAAUAGGACGUUUGACCCUAUUUUGUUGGUUUCUAGGAUCGACGUAAUGAUUAAUAGGGAUAGUUGGGGGCAUUAGUAUUCAAUUGUCAGAGGUGAAAUUCUUGGAUUUAUUGAAGACUAACUACUGCGAAAGCAUUUGCCAAGGAUGUUUUCAUUAAUCAAGAACGAAAGUUAGGGGAUCGAAGACGAUCAGAUACCGUCGUAGUCUUAACCAUAAACUAUGCCGACUAGGGAUCGGAUGAUGUUAAUUUUUUAAUGACUCAUUCGGCGCCUUACG